rnacentral:tRNA from 1 species
GAGGGUAUAGCUCAGUGGUAGAGUGCAUGCUUAGCAUGCAUGAGGACCUGAGUUCAAUCCCCAGGACCUCCA